UACGGGGGGAGCAAGCGUUGUUCGGAUUUACUGGGCGUAAAGGGCGCGUAGGCGGUCGUGACAAGUCACUUGUGAAAUCUCCGGGCUUAACUCGGAACGGUCAAGUGAUACUGUCGGACUAGAGUACAGAAGGGGCAACUGGAAUUCUCGGUGUAGCGGUGAAAUGCGUAGAUAUCGAGAGGAACACCUGCGGCGAAGGCGGGUGCUGG
rnacentral:rRNA from 1 species